CUUGGUCAUUUAGAGGAAGUAAAAGUCGUAACAAGGUUUCCGUAGGUGAACCUGCGGAAGGAUCAUUACAGAAAGUAAACGCGGAUCAAACCGCGAACUUCUAAACCUUUGACGAUUGACUCAUGUUGCCUCGGCGGGUUCUCCCGCCAGAGGAUACAUCAAAACUCCUGUUUUAACGGUGUUGUCUGAGCUACAAGCAACGAAUCAAAACUUUCAACAACGGAUCUCUUGGUUCUGGCAUCGAUGAAGAACGCAGCGAAAUGCGAUAAGUAGUGUGAAUUGCAGAAUUCAGUGAAUCAUCGAAUCUUUGAACGCACAUUGCGCCCCUUGGUAUCCCGAGGGGCAUGCCUGUUCGAGCGUCAUUUCACCACUCAAGCCUGGCUUGGUGUUGGGCGACGUCCCCUUUGGGNGACGCGCCUCGAAACGCUCGGCGGCGUGGCACCGGCUUUAAGCGUAGCAGAAUCUUUCGCUUUGAAAGUCGGGGCCCCGUCUGCCGGAAGACCUACUCGCAAGGUUGACCUCGGAUCAGGCAGGGAUACCCGCUGAACUUAAGCAUAUCAAUAAGCGGAGGA
rnacentral:rRNA from 1 species